UUGUGGCAUUACAUAAGUUGGCAUUGUGUUCACCAUUGAUUCAUACAAUUGGUCAUCACGCUUGGUUGAAAAGCCAGUGACGCAAAGCUACUAUGUGCUGUAUUAUGAUUGAAUGACUCUAAGUUAGAAUCUGGGAUAAAAGUAUAACAUACACCUGUCGUCUCCUUUCUAACCCGCAGUUAGGGCCUUGUCCCCCAAAGGCAUGUGUCAUUGGCAAAGCCACCAUGGAGGAAGGGUCGCGUGGCUGCCUUAAAGUAUAAUUUCCAUCGAGUGGUAGGUAGAAUCCCUUGCAGACAACUUAAAUAUGUGAUGGGGUAUUGUAAGUAGUAGAGUAGCCUUGCUUCCAUGAUUCACUGAGAUUCAGGCAUAUGUCACUCUGGUUU
rnacentral:ncRNA from 1 species